AGCUUUGCGCAGUGGCAGUAUCGUAGCCAAUGAGGUUUAUCCGAGGUGCAAUUAUUGCUAAUUAAAAUGUCUGUGAAAAAUUUUAAUUCUAUCAAAAAUACCAUAAAACAUUAAAACUGUAGUAUAAAAUAUUAU
rnacentral:snRNA from 1 species